CAUGCAGUCGAGCGGGCAUCUUCGGGUGUCAGCGGCAGACGGGUGAGUAACACGUGGGAACGUACCCUUCGGUUCGGAACAACUCUGGGAAACUGGAGCUAAUACCGGAUACGCCCUUAUGGGGAAAGGUUUACUGCCGAAGGAUCGGCCCGCGUCUGAUUAGCUAGUUGGUGGGGUAACGGCCUACCAAGGCGACGAUCAGUAGCUGGUCUGAGAGGAUGAUCAGCCACACUGGGACUGAGACACGGCCCAGACUCCUACGGGAGGCAGCAGUGGGGAAUAUUGGACAAUGGGCGCAAGCCUGAUCCAGCCAUGCCGCGUGAGUGAUGAAGGCCUUAGGGUUGUAAAGCUCUUUUGUCCGGGACGAUAAUGACGGUACCGGAAGAAUAAGCCCCGGCUAACUUCGUGCCAGCAGCCGCGGUAAUACNAAGGGGGCUAGCGUUGCUCGGAAUCACUGGGCGUAAAGGGCGCGUAGGCGGCCAUUCAAGUCGGGGGUGAAAGCCUGUGGCUCAACCACAGAAUUGCCUUCGAUACUGUUUGGCUUGAGUAUGGUAGAGGUUGGUGGAACUGCGAGUGUNNAGGUGAAAUUCGUAGAUAUUCNCAAGAACACCGGUGGCGAAGGC
rnacentral:rRNA from 1 species